AGUAAAAUCAUUGACUUUAGCCAUUCUCUUGCAGGUUUGUGUUUAGUUUUACGAGAUCUGCUGUCGUCGACGGACGUGUGUGCACGGAAUAACAACGGGAUAUAAGUAGUAGAAAAAUACCGCGUACAAUUAUUAAUGUUGCCAAAAUACUACUUACGAAGCUAAAAGUUUAAUAAAAAAAAAAAAAAAAAAUCCCUUUAAAUGCCUGUAUUUUGUGAAGAAAUAAACGUGCAAAGUGUUAGUGUUGAAUUUCCUGUUUGAAAUUCUUUGCCUACUUUUUUCACUCGCCAACAACUACAUACGCUUUACGGUAUUCUGGGUUUGCCGUGCCGCUUUUGGAGUGCAACAUACUUGUCUAGCCAGCUUGAAUAAGUGGCUAGCGCCAAACGUGGAAGUCGCUUUUAAAGGUAGCUAACUAAAAUAUGUUUGUGCGCAAUUAAAUCUUACAAUACAUCACACGUUUCUUUGAAUUUCCAAAA